GACGAACGCUGGCGGCGUGCUUAACACAUGCAAGUCGAACGGACAGGCCCUGCUCUUGCGGGGUGCUCGAGUGGCGAACGGGUGAGUAACACGUGAGUAACAUGCCCUUGUCUUUGUGAUAACAUUUGGAAACUGGGGCUCAUAUCGCAUAGGAGCUCCUGCAGCAUGGUGGGGGUUGGAAAGAUUCGGCGGUUGGGGCUUGUCUGGCGGCUUAUCCGCUUGUUGGUGUGGUUGGGGCUUACCAAGGCUUUGAAGGGUAGCCGGCCUGAGAGGGUGGCCGGCCACAUGGGGACUGAGAUACGGCCCAGACGCCAACGGUAGGCAGCAGUGGAGAGUAUGGCGCAGUGGGCCGAAGCCAGAUACAGCAACGCCGGGUGCGGGAUGACGGCCUUCGGGGGGUAAACCGCUUUCGCAGGUGACGAAGCGGUAGUGACGGUAAUGGGUAAAGAAGCACCGGCUAACUACGUG
rnacentral:rRNA from 1 species